ACAGAGGGGGCAAGCGUUGCUCGGAAUCACUGGGCGUAAAGGGCGCGUAGGCGGGAUGGCAAGUCGGUCGUGAAAUCCUUCGGCCCAACCGAAGAACGUCGGCCGAUACUGCCGUUCUUGAGGGAUGCAGAGGAGACUGGAAUUCCCGGUGUAGCGGUGAAAUGUGUAGAGAUCGGGAGGAACACCGGUGGCGAAGGCGGGUUGCUGGGCUGACACUGACGCUGAUUGUGCGAAAGCUAGGGGAGCGAACGGGA
rnacentral:rRNA from 1 species